rnacentral:rRNA from 1 species
AUUGAACGCUGGCGGCAUGCCUUACACAUGCAAGUCGAACGGUAACAGGUUAAGCUGCCGAGUGGCGAACGGGUGAGUAAUACAUCGGAACGUGCCCAGUAGUGGGGGAUAGCCCGGCGAAAGCCGGAUUAAUACCGCAUACGACCUAAGGGUGAAAGGGGGGGAUCGCAAGACCUCUCGCUAUUGGAGCGGCCGAUGUCAGAUUAGCUAGUUGGUGGGGUAAAAGCUCACCAAGGCGACGAUCUGUAGCUGGUCUGAGAGGACGACCAGCCACACUGGGACUGAGACACGGCCCAGACUCCUACGGGGGGCAGCAGUGGGGAAUUUUGGACAAUGGGCGCAAGCCUGAUCCAGCCAUGCCGCGUGCGGGAAGAAGGCCUUCGGGUUGUAAACCGCUUUUGUCAGGGAAGAAAUCCUUUGGGUUAAUACCUCGGGGGGAUGACGGUACCUGAAGAAUAAGCACCGGCUAACUACGUG